rnacentral:rRNA from 1 species
GUUAUAGGAUCAAGCGACUAAGUGCAUAUGGUGGAUGCCUUGGCGAUCACAGGCGAUGAAGGACGUAGUAGCCUGCGAAAAGCUACGGGGAGCUGGCAAACAAGCUUUGAUCCGUAGAUGUCCGAAUGGGGAAACCCACUCCGCAAGGAGUAUCCCUGGCUGAAUACAUAGGCCAGUGGAAGCGAACCGGGUGAACUGAAACAUCUCAGUAGCUCGAGGAAAAGAAAUCAACCGAGAUUCCGAAAGUAGUGGCGAGCGAAAUCGGAAGAGCCUUUACGUUUUAGCACGCAAGAUAGUCGAACGGAAUGGAAAGUCCGGCCGUAGCAGGUGAUAGCCCUGUAGGCGAAAUCUUGUGUGUGGAACUAAGCGUAAGAAAAGUAGGGCGGGACACGUGAAAUCCUGUUUGAAGAUGGGGGGACCAUCCUCCAAGGCUAAAUACUCGUGAUCGACCGAUAGUGAACCAGUACCGUGAGGGAAAGGCGAAAAGAACCCCGGAAGGGGAGUGAAAUAGAUCCUGAAACCGUAUGCAUACAAACAGUAGGAGCCUCCUUGUGGGGUGACUGCGUACCUUUUGUAUAAUGGGUCAGCGACUUACAUUCAGUGGCAAGGUUAACCGAAUAGGGAAGCCGUAGCGAAAGCGAGUCCGAAUAGGGCGAUUCAGUCGCUGGGUGUAGACCCGAAACCAGAUGAUCUAUCCAUGGCCAGGUUGAAGGCACGGUAACACGUGCUGGAGGACCGAACCCACUAAUGUUGAAAAAUUAGGGGAUGAGCUGUGGAUAGGGGUGAAAGGCUAAACAAAUCUGGAAAUAGCUGGUUCUCUCCGAAAACUAUUUAGGUAGUGCCUCAAGUAUUACUGCGGGGGGUAGAGCACUGUUAUAGCUAGGGGGUCAUGGCGACUUACCAAACUAUGGCAAACUCCGAAUACCCGCAAGUACAGCUUGGGAGACAGAGCACCGGGUGCUAACGUCCGGACUCAAGAGGGAAACAACCCAGACCGCCAGCUAAGGUCCCAAAUUAUCGCUAAGUGGGAAACGAAGUGGGAAGGCAUAGACAGUCAGGAGGUUGGCUUAGAAGCAGCCAUCCUUUAAAGAAAGCGUAAUAGCUCACUGAUCGAGUCGUCCUGCGCGGAAGAUGUAACGGGGCUAAGCGAUAAACCGAAGCUGCGGGUGUGCACUUU